rnacentral:snRNA from 1 species
UUGCUUGUUUCAGCAGCACAAAUAUUAAAAGUGAAACAAUAUAGAAACAAUUAGCAUGGCCCCUAUGCAAGGAUGACA